rnacentral:rRNA from 1 species
CAUGCAAGUCGAGGGGAAACGACAUCGAAAGCUUGCUUUUGAUGGGCGUCGACCGGCGCACGGGUGAGUAACGCGUAUCCAACCUGCCCACCACUUGGGGAUAACCUUGCGAAAGUAAGACUAAUACCCAAUGACGUCUCUAGAAGACAUCUGAAGGAGAUUAAAGAUUUAUCGGUGAUGGAUGGGGAUGCGUCUGAUUAGCUUGUUGGCGGGGUAACGGCCCACCAAGGCGACGAUCAGUAGGGGUUCUGAGAGGAAGGUCCCCCACAUUGGAACUGAGACACGGUCCAAACUCCUACGGGAGGCAGCAGUGAGGAAUAUUGGUCAAUGGACGAGAGUCUGAACCAGCCAAGUAGCGUGCAGGAUGACGGCCCUAUGGGUUGUAAACUGCUUUUAUAAGGGAAUAAAGUUAGUCUCGUGAGACUUUUUGCAUGUACCUUAUGAAUAAGGACCGGCUAAUUCCGUGCCAGCAGCCGCGGUAAUACGGAAGGUCCGGGCGUUAUCCGGAUUUAUUGGGUUUAAAGGGAGCGUAGGCCGGAGAUUAAGCGUGUUGUGAAAUGUAGACGCUCAACGUCUGCACUGCAGCGCGAACUGGUUUCCUUGAGUACGCACAAAGUGGGCGGAAUUCGUGGUGUAGCGGUGAAAUGCUUAGAUAUCACGAAGAACUCCGAUUGCGAAGGCAGCUCACUGGAGCGCAACUGACGCUGAAGCUCGAAAGUGCGGGUAUCGAACAGGAUUAGAUACCCUGGUAGUCCGCACGGUAAACGAUGGAUGCCCGCUGUUGGUCUGAAUAGGUCAGCGGCCAAGCGAAAGCAUUAAGCAUCCCACCUGGGGAGUACGCCGGCAACGGUGAA